rnacentral:ncRNA from 1 species
UUUGAUAGAGGUUGCGCGUCUUAUGAGUAGGCUGCCGGAUGUGCCCGUACACAGGGGAAGGCUGGUGAAAGGAAGAAGCGCCGAAGGUUUGCCGCGAUCGGGAGCGGUCAGGCCUGGGGGCAGGUCGAACAGGCUUGCAACUGUCAUCAUGCACGUGAUGGAGCGCUAUUU